GACGAACGCUGGCGGCGUGCUUAACACAUGCAAGUCGAACGGAAAGGCCCUGCUUGCAGGGUGCUCGAGUGGCGAACGGGUGAGUAACACGUGGGUGAUCUGCCCCUUACUUUGGGAUAAGCCUGGGAAACUGGGUCUAAUACUGGAUAGGACCAUGCUGUAGGUGGUGUGGUGGAAAGAUUAGUUUCGGUAAGGGAUGAGCUCGCGGCCUAUCAGCUUGUUGGUGGGGUAAUGGCCUACCAAGGCGUCGACGGGUAGCCGGCCUGAGAGGGUGGACGGCAAAAUUGGGACGGAGAUACGGCCCAGACUCCUACGGGAGGCAGCAGUGGGGAAUAUGGCACAAUGGGCGCAAGCCUGAUGCAGCGACGCGGCGUGGGGGAUGACGGCCUUCGGGUUGUAAACCCCUUUAAGCAAUGACGAAGCCCUGGUGGUGAGGGUAGUGGUAGAAGAAGCACCGGCUAACUACGU
rnacentral:rRNA from 1 species